GUGAAUAUAGACGCAUAAAGCAUCCAGCUUCAUGCCAUGUGACCCCUCCCCCUUGUAAAUUUUUGGUUCCUAUAGAACGUGUUGUCCAAGAGCACUCCCCUCCUUUCAUCCUUCUUCGUUGAAGACUAAAACAUUGGCUGACAGCUCCAAGCGAGGCAAGGGAUGUCAGCAACCUCUGGCAGCAACGAGCAACGGGUGAAAACGCAAGGAGAGAGAAGGCCAAAGCAGCAACUUCCGACAUCAUUUCGACUAAUUCUGGUGCCUUUUUUUGGUGAUUUCAACAGUGCUAAACCACUUUCUCAGGUGUGUAUCUUUUAGAUGCCACCAAUUUCACCUAAAAUGAUGGAUGAAGGAAAGAAAGAUGAGAGGGAGAGAGAAGGUAAGAGAGGGAAGAGAGAGAAGAGGGGUUGUAACGGGGAAACCGGUUGAAAAAGGAAGGACAAUUUUUUUAAAACAAAAUUAAAAUGGAAAGAUUUUAUUUUAAUAAAUUAAACAAUUCCUAAUGUAAUUUAUUCAGC
rnacentral:misc_RNA from 1 species